UCUUCAAGGGAGGAUGGAGCUCUUGAUGCCUCUUUGAAUCUGCUCAAUCCCUUUCUUUGAUUCUUGAAUGAAGCACUUGGAUGAAGCUUGCCUUGCUAGGGUUCUCUCUUGAAUGCACUUAAUGUAUUUUCUCAAAAGCUUACUUCCUCUAAUGAAUACUCCCUCUUAAAUACUUCUCCAACCUCCAAAUAGUCCUUUCUGACCGUUGGAUUGAAGAAACUAGCCGUUUAUAGCCGUUGGGAGUCCAAAAAGCAUUUCUGCACAACUAGCCGUUAUGUUCAGCCCGUGUUUGGGUCGGCUCAACCUGUCCUUGGGUCGACCCAACCUUCACUUGGGUCGACCCAACCUUCACUUGAGUCGACUCAAACAUUCCUUGGGUCGACCCUCUCAGAAACCACAGAAACUUCAAUUUCAGCCUU
rnacentral:lncRNA from 1 species